rnacentral:lncRNA from 1 species
GGCAGCAGGAUGGGUCUCCAGACGUGGUACGACGGUGGAGAUGAGCCUGGCCGGGACCCUUCUCCGGGCUGUGGCGGUUGGCGCCCCGGCAGCGCACAGACAGCGGGUUUGCCCUCCUCUCCAGCGGCAGGCAGAAGGUGUUUCCGUGAGAGCAGCUCACCUGUCAAGAAGUUCCCGAUGAAGCGUGCAUAGAAGGGAACCUCCCAGCUAACAAGGUUCCCCAGUCCUGAGCCCCGAAGAGGCGCCCAGGCCACUGAGGAGGCAGCCAGGAGGCCCCUGGUUACAGCAGCAUCCACGGAGCACCUCGGCACCUGGCCCACAUGGAGGGCGCUGGGUUGGCGGGGAGCCACGGAGGACCUCGAAUGGAAUGGACACGGGGACGCCAGCAGAUGUCCCAGGGACGUGCCGUAGAUCGCCCUUCACGCUGGGAUCUGUUCCUACGGGCCUCAUGCCGACCUCGAUCUGAGGGAAGGUGGGAGCCAGCGCUGUGGGAGACUGGGCAGUGAGUCCACAUCGCAAGCGGGGCUCUGCUUCCUCCCCUCCCUACAGACUGGGGGGCUGACCUCUGGUCACCCUUGCCAGGUCCUCUGCAUUCCUGGGGAGCUGUAGGCACCAGGGUGUCACCUGGGCUUGAUUUCUAGUGACCUCUCAUGUCCAUCCCGAGUCCGGACACCAAGACUUGUGACCAUUCCUUUCCCCAAGACACGCUGCGGAGGACGGCUGGACUGAGCGCAGCCUUGCGGCCUCGGUUCCAGGGAGGACAGCCCAGGGCGCCCGAGUCCUGGUGCUCAUGACAGACGCCUGUGACACUGGGGACACAUGGACAUUUUCUCUGGAGCAGGACAAGUGAGGGCAGGUUCGCAGCCAGCCCACAGCGCCAGUGGCCCUCUUGACCAGAGUCCUGCCGGGAUCCAGGCUGGCCCACGGGGGCAGGUGGACGCUGCUGCCCGUGGUUGUCUGCAGCUUCCGGAGGCGUGGGCUUCCGAGGCCUGUAGGCUUGAGCACUGGGCGUCGUGGGAUUCUCACACCCCGCACACCUGGCAGGUGGAGGUGGCUGCGGGGCUAGAUGCUCUCACUCCGCUGGUGGUCGUGCACACGGGAGACAUGACUUUCCAAGCACGUCAGAUGAACUUUGACGUUAUAAUCUCUUCACUUCUUCAGUCUUUAGAAAGCGAGUAUGUUGCACGUCUGGGGGACGUGUUGUCCUCGUUCUGUGGUUUCUGUGGUUCACCUUUCACGUGGUGCUUUCUUAAUCCAGGUGAGUGUUGCACUGGUUCGUUUCUGGCUGCCUCCCCAGCACUCAUCCCAGAACGUGUCCUUGUGCUGCUGCUCAUGGAUAAGGUUUUCUUCUGUAAUAAAAGUCUGCUCUAAAAAAAAAAAAAAAAAAAAAAAAAAAGUCUGCUCUGUUCACUGGGUCCAGUCAUCUCCCUGCAGUUUGGGGGUGCAGUCAGGACCCCCCAGGGAGGUGCUGGGUCUGGCCUCAGGCCUGCAGAGCCAGACACCCAACUGGCCACUGCCUCAAGGUAACCAAACUUGUAAGAGACUGACAUAAUCGGAGAAGGAAUCCACUGACUUAGGAUGAGAGUGACUCCUGUGGGACAAAAUACUGUGUCCCUCUGUAGACACAGCUGUCCCGGCCCCAGGUUCUGGGGGACUAGAGGUUCCUUGGUUGCCUGAUGCCUGCGGUCAUAACCCUGGAGGGGGUCUGGGAGACCCCGACCUCGUGAGACCCUGGGAUGAUGCCCUGCAAGCACUGAGUGCUGAAGAGCCUGGGUUGGGCCCCUGUCCCAUACCCUUGCUCGUUUGCCUUCCAAGGAAGAGCUGUCCUCUUGAGGGCAGCCCUGCCCCCCAGAAGGGUACACAGGAAUACCUGGAGACAUUCUUGGUUGUCUCCGCUGAGGGGAGGGGCCACCAGACCCUGCAGAGCACAGUAUGCCUGGGGGCAAGGACCAGGCCAAGGAUGGGACUGCAAAGUCCCUGCACAGUCAGGUGAUGGGGAGACGCCCGAGGGCAGACAGAGGAGCAGCACUGUGGGCCAGGGCUUUGGGUGGCAAAACCAGGGGCCAGGCAGCUUUCUGCAGAGACCCAGACACUUGACAGGAGGCCUGUUGAGGCUGAAGAGCGGGAGCCGAGCCUCCAAGGCAUCUGGCACCCCACUAAAGGGCCACACAGGAGGGGGUGAGGGGAGACUGAGGAGGGGGUGGGAGAGGCGAGCCCCAGCCACCUCUGUGCGUUCGUUGGGGGCCAUGUGUCCAGAACAGAACUCGGCUGUGGCCAUUGCCCCAUCCCAGAAAGUGGGCCAGCUGCCACACUCCAGCCCAAACGCCAGGUUGUCGUGCCCCACAUCCCAGCAAACAGCAGGUAAUGUCAGUUUGGUCCCCAGCACGGCCCUACCCAGCCCACACUCUAAACCACCUGCCUCCUCCUGCCUCCCUAAACAGAUCUUAAAAUGUGCAUCAGGCGUCACUCCCCUGCUCAGGACCCUCAGUGGCUCCUGGUGCAGAUCAAAUCCGGGCUCCUAAUCACGGCUUCAAGACAGCUUGCCCCCCAUGUCCCAUUCUCCUUCCCUCACCCCCGCCCCCGCUUGCUUGUUCUCCUCCAAACCCUUGGGGACACUCAUGCCUCAGGACCCUGGCACAUGCUCUUCCUUCUGCUUUGAAU